UACGUAGGGUGCGAGCGUUAAUCGGAAUUACUGGACGUAAAGCGUGCGCAGGCGGCUUUGCAAGACAGAUGUGAAAUCCCCGGGCUCAACCUGGGAACUGCAUUUGUGACUGCAAGGCUAGAGUACGGCAGAGGGGGAUGGAAUUCCGCGUGUAGCAGUGAAAUGCGUAGAUAUGCGGAGGAACACCAAUGGCGAAGGUAAUCCCCUGGGCCUGUACUGACGCUCAUGCACGAAAGCGUGGGGAGCAAACAGG
rnacentral:rRNA from 1 species